AAACUGUCCAAAGUAUCUGGAAGAUAAGAAGAAUGGAAAUGUUCCUACUACUUCUGCAGGGUCUGAGAAAGAGUAGAGCAUUGGCAAAAGGCGAGGUCGAUCUUAGAGUUGGCAAUGGAGCAAAGGUUGCUGCUUUAGCUGUUGGAACUUAUGUAUUGACCUUACCUAGUGGUCUUUUACUUAAUUUAGAAAACUGCUAUUAUGUACCUGCCAUUAGCAGGAAUAUUAUUUCAAUUUCUUGUUUGGA